UGGUGUGUCUAGAAUGAGAGAACGUGACACCAGACACCUCAUUCAUUGCCAGGGUGGGUUUGGUUUGUCUGGUUGGCAAGGGUGUGUGUCCUCUUCCUCCCUCACUGCUCCAUUAUGUGUGUCUCCCACAGAUACUUGCUCGGUGCAAGAGACAAACCUUCCCCAAAUAUAGAUAGGCUGUCUUUAGUAGAGAGUAUAGGAGCAGUUGAGUUCCCCUGCUAGAUUCUCCAAACACAAAUGCCAUGUUUACAUGUCACAAUAUAGACAAAAAUUGAAACCAUAUGGCUAACCAGCUAUCUUAUCUUCUAUAG
ensembl:misc_RNA 7SK 7SK RNA